rnacentral:rRNA from 1 species
CUACGGGCUGCUGCAGUAGGGAAUAUUGGACAAUGGGCGAAAGCCUGAUCCAGCAACACCGCGUGCACGAUGACGGCCUUCGGGUUGUAAAGUGCUUUUAGAGGAGAUGAGAAAGGACAGUAUCCUCUGAAUAAGCCUCGGCGAACUACGUGCCAGCAGCCGCGGUAAAACGUAGGAGGCAAGCGUUAUCCGGAUUUAUUGGGCGUAAAGCGCGUGCAGGCGGUCUAGCAAGUUGGAUGUGAAAGCUCCCGGCUCAACUGGGAGAGGUCGUUCAAUACUGUUAGACUAGAGAAUAGGAGAGGGAGGUGGAAUUCCGGGUGUAGUGGCGAAAUGCGUAGAUAUCCGGAGGAACACCAGUGGCGAAAGCGGCCUCCUGGACUAUUUCUGACGCUAAGACGCGAAAGCUAGGGUAGCAAACGGGAUUAGAUACCCGAGUAGUC